rnacentral:rRNA from 1 species
AUUGAACGCUGGCGGCAUGCCUUACACAUGCAAGUCGAACGGCAGCACGGGAGCAAUCCUGGUGGCGAGUGGCGAACGGGUGAGUAAUAUAUCGGAACGUGCCCAGUCGUGGGGGAUAACGUAGCGAAAGCUACGCUAAUACCGCAUACGAUCUAUGGAUGAAAGCGGGGGAUCGCAAGACCUCGCGCGAUUGGAGCGGGCGAUAUCAGAUUAGGUAGUUGGUGAGGUAAAGGCUCACCAAGCCGACGAUCUGUAGCUGGUCUGAGAGGACGACCAGCCACACUGGGAUUGAGACACGGCCCAGACUCCUACGGGAGGCAGCAGUGGGGAAUUUUGGACAAUGGGCGCAAGCCUGAUCCAGCAAUGCCGCGUGCAGGAUGAAGGCCUUCGGGUUGUAAACUGCUUUUGUACGGAGCGAAAAGGCUUCCACUAAUACUGGGGGCUCAUGACGGUACCGUAAGAAUAAGCACCGGCUAACUACGUGCCAGCAGCCGCCGUAACAC